rnacentral:rRNA from 1 species
GCAGUCGAACGGAGCACCCUUGAUUGAGGUUUCGGCCAAAUGAUAGGAAUGCUUAGUGGCGGACUGGUGAGUAACGCGUGAGGAACUUGCCUUUCAGAGGGGGACAACAGUUGGAAACGACUGCCAAUACCGCAUGACGCAUUUUGAUCGCAUGGUCGAAAUGCCAAAGAUUUAUCGCUGAAAGAUGGCCUCGCGUCUGAUUAGCUAGUUGGCGGGGUAACGGCCCACCAAGGCGACGAUCAGUAGCCGGACUGAGAGGUUGACCGGCCACAUUGGGACUGAGAUACGGCCCAGACUCCUACGGGAGGCAGCAGUGGGGAAUAUUGGGCAAUGGGCGCAAGCCUGACCCAGCAACGCCGCGUGAAGGAAGAAGGCUUUCGGGUUGUAAACUUCUUUUAAGUGGGAAGAGUAGAAGACGGUACCACUUGAAUAAGCCACGGCUAACUACGUGCCAGCAGCCGCGGUAAUACGUAGGUGGCAAGCGUUGUCCGGAUUUACUGGGUGUAAAGGGCGUGCAGCCGGGCAUGCAAGUCAGAUGUGAAAUCUCAGGGCUUAACCCUGAAACUGCAUUUGAAACUGUAUGUCUUGAGUGCCGGAGAGGUAAUCGGAAUUCCUUGUGUAGCGGUGAAAUGCGUAGAUAUAAGGAAGAACACCAGUGGCGAAGGCGGAUUACUGGACGGUAACUGACGGUGAGGCGCGAAAGCGUGGGGAGCGAACAGGAUUAGAUACCCUGGUAGUCCACGCUGUAAACGAUGGAUACUAGGUGUGCGGGGACUGACCCCUGCGUGCCGCAGUUAACACAAUAAGUAUCC